CGUAGGUGGCAAGCGUUGUCCGGAAUUAUUGGGCGUAAAGCGCGCGCAGGCGGUUCCUUAAGUCUGAUGUGAAAGCCCCCGGCUCAACCGGGGAAGGUCAUUGGAAACUGGGGAACUUGAGUGCAGAAGAGAAGAGCGGAAUUCCACGUGUAGCGGUGAAAUGCGUAGAGAUGUGGAGGAACACCAGUGGCGAAGGCGGCUCUUUGGUCUGUAACUGACGCUGAGGCGCGAAAGCGUGGGGAGCAAACAGGAUUAGAUACCCUGGUAGUCCACGCCGUAAACGAUGAGUGCUAAGUGUUAGAGGGUUUCCGCCCUUUAGUGCUGCAGCUAACGCAUUAAGCACUCCGCCUGGGGAUACGGCCGCAAGGCUG
rnacentral:rRNA from 1 species